AUGACACGAAAGCUGAAUAAGCAUAUCCAAUCAUAUGCAUAUUGUAAGUCAAAAGUCAAAAUUGACCCAUUAGUUGGACAGCCAGGUGUACCUCAACUGCAGGCGAACCGAGGGAAAAGAAAGCCGAGUCACCUUGAGCACCACGGUCCGGAAGCCAAGAGCAUGAGCAGACCAAAAUCAGAAUGGAUUAACCAGAAAACCCUAGACAAAUCCCUAAAAAACAACAAAGCCCUUGAUGAGCACAUACACACCACAAAGGGAAAGACAAACAAGGGAGCAAAUAAUCACCUCAGCCAUCUUAGAAGCCCACUCGGUGUGCUCUCUCUCCGGCCAACCCGCAAGACAGCCCCAACGCCACGCCACCGUCCCAACCAUGAAACAGCCAGAGAAGCAAGGAAGAUGGUAAGAAACAAGCCAAAUAAAAGGUAA
rnacentral:rRNA from 1 species